rnacentral:misc_RNA from 1 species
GUGAAUCAUCGAAUCUUUGAACGCACCUUGCACCGUAUGAGCAAUUGUACGGUAUACCUGUUUGAGAAUCGUAAAAAUCUAUCCCUACCAUUUGGUGGGAGACUUGUCGGUUGUGCCCUUUGGGGUACUCUGAUUAAAUACAGUAGGUCUGGAUCAGGCUAGUGGCCUGGGACACUAUGUGCUAGAGACGUCGCGUUGUUGACUGUCUUCUCAUGGUGCGUCCUAGGCUGUUAAGCUGGCUUGGUCAAGCCUCUACAGUCUAUGCCUUGUGCGUAGACAACCCCCCUUUUUGAUCUCAAA